CACAGGGAGAAAGAAACAGAUUGAGAACGGGAAGAGGAAUGAAAAUACAUCAAACAUAAAUAAAGCGAAAUCAAAGCAAUAGGAUAGAUUGAGAGAAAGGAGAAAGAAGAAGAGAGAGACCUUAAAAAGGGAUAGGGACAGGGAGAGAGAAAGAAGAGAAAAAUAAAGUAGGGGGAGUGUGCAGUUGACUUGAGAGAGAGGGAAAGGGAGAAAGGGCGAGAGAGAGAGAGAGAGAGAGAGAGAGAGAGAGAGAGAGAGAGAGAGAGAGAGAGAGAGAGAGAGAGAGAGAGAGAGACCAGCCGCCGGCCCAUUUAGGAAAGAUGGCUACAGUCACUGCAAACGGAGUGCAGCAAGAGAAUGGAUUCAGCACCACGAACAGCGCCGCCAGGAUGAACGGGCUCACAAUCGGUCAGAACACCAUUCCAAUGAAGGACCACGACGCCAUCAAGCUGUUUAUCGGACAGAUUCCCAGAAACCUGGAGGAGAAAGAUCUGAAGCCCCUUUUUGAGGAAUUCGGAAAGAUAUACGAACUCACUGUGCUGAAAGACAGGUUUACGGGAAUGCAUAAAGGAUGUGCCUUUCUAACGUACUGCGCCAGAGAGUCAGCACUGAAGGCCCAGAGCGCCCUCCACGAACAGAAGACUCUGCCAGGGAUGAACCGGCCCAUCCAGGUGAAGCCAGCCGACAGCGAAGGACGAGGAGAAGACAGGAAGCUGUUUGUGGGGAUGCUUGGGAAGCAGCAGAGCGAGGAGGACGUCCGGCGGCUCUUUGAGACCUUCGGCCAGAUCGAGGAGUGCACCGUCCUGAGAGGGCCUGAUGGGGCCAGUAAGGGCUGUGCCUUUGUCAAGUUCUCCAGCCACGCAGAAGCACAGGCGGCCAUCAACAGCCUGCACGGCGGACAGACCAUGCCAUGUGCGUAUCCCCAGGGGGCGUCCUCCAGCCUGGUGGUGAAGUUUGCCGACACGGACAAGGAGCGGACCCUGCGUAGGAUGCAUCAGAUGGCGGGCCAGCUCGGCAUCUUCAGCCCCAUGACCAUCCAGUUUGGGGCCUAUGGCGCCUACUCUCACGCUGUAAGUCUCGGCUCCACGGGGGAGGAGACGCAGAUGAUGCAACAGCAAGCAGCGCUAAUGGCGGCGACCCAGAACUCGUAUCUGAAUCCCAUGGCAGCCAUCGCUGCGGCACAAAUGCAGCAAAUGGCAGCUUUCAACGUCAACGGUCUGGUGGCUGCCCCAAUGACACCCUCCUCAGGCACCAGCACGCCACCGGGUAUCAAUGCCACGGCCUUGCCCAGCCUAGCAGCACCCAUGGGGGUCAAUGGGUUCGCAUCCCUCCCGCCCCAGACCAACGGUCAGCCUAACAAUGAGCCAAUAUACACCAAUGGGAUCCACCCCUACCCAGGUGAGACAGCCAAUGGGAUUCACCUCUACUCAGCACAGAGUCCUACAGUGACUGACCCUCUCCAGCAGGCUUACGCCGGUGUGCAGCACUACGCAGCAGCCUACCCUGCCGCCUAUGCACCAAUCAGUCAAGCGUUCCCCCAGCAACCCACCAUCAUCCCCCAGCAACAGAGAGAAGUUUGUUGUUGUUAUUUCCCACCAGGGCCGGAAGGCUGCAACCUGUUUAUUUACCAUCUGCCCCAGGAGUUUGGAGACGCAGAAUUAAUGCAAAUGUUCCUGCCUUUCGGCAACGUCAUCUCCGCCAAAGUCUUCGUGGACCGGGCGACCAAUCAAAGCAAGUGUUUUGGCUUUGUGAGCUUCGAUAACCCGUCCAGUGCCCAGGCGGCUAUCCAGGCCAUGAAUGGUUUUCAGAUAGGCAUGAAGCGACUGAAGGUGCAGCUGAAGCGGCCAAAGGAUGCCAACCGACCUUACUGACCCCUUUGCCGUCCACAUCCAGAUAGCAUUUGAAUAAAGGCAUGAAGCACUAAUUGAAUGUCUGAGCAGACUGCCUGAGGAGAGGAGAGGAGCGGAGGAAUGACUUUGACGAAACACAUUGAUGAGGGACAAGUGGAGAAUGUCCUGGACAAUGAUGAGGACAGGCUCGUCAUUAUGACAUCCUCAGUGUGUCUCUAACAACAGCCGUGUGUGUGUGUGUGUGUGUGUGUGUGUGUGUGUGUGUGUGUGUGUGUGUGUGUGUGUGUGUGUGUGUGUGUGUGUGUGUGUGUGUGUGUGUGUGUGUGUGUGUGUGUGUGUGUGUGUGUGUGUGUGUGUGCGUGUGUGCGUGUGUGUGUGUGCGUGCGAUGGUGGGGGGUAAGUCUGUCUGGGUUUGGUCUCCUGCCAUUCUGACUUAAAGCAUUUGAAAAUGGCUAUGGGACUCAAUGUACAUACCAACAUCAUUGCAUACAAUGCAAGGACAAAAUCCAAUUAUUUAGAGUGUGACUGUGUUAGUUUGAGAUGUAUAACAUGCCAUUUGGCCUGGUCUUAUCUUUGUGAGUACAGUGCAGCACUCUAGUCUUUUACCUUAUAAAUGUUCUCUCAGAACUGCUUCAAAAAGAAAAAAUAAAGGCCAUUAUUUUAGUUAUUUUUGAAGGUUCCAUUUUUAUCACCAUAUUUCCAAUUGUAUUUGUUGAUUUGUUGACUUUUUCGUUUUGACAGUAAUAACCUCCCUUCAUUUGGUUUGUCAGCCAGAGACGUUGAGAGAGAGAGAGAGAGAGAGAGGCUGGAAUAAAUGGGAAAGUAAAGUCUACAUCAUAUUUACCACUUGAGAAAAAAAUUGGAACUCCACCGCUUCUCUUCUUCUUUUGUUUUGCACCCAACCCAACCUGCCAACCGGCCAAUCAUAACAUGAGAUGGCCUCUCCAUGGUCGUUGUGUAGCCAACCAGUAGCCACCAGUCACGGGGACACGUUCCCAGUUCCCACACCUGAUGAAGGGCCACAACACCUUAUUUCCACAAGUGCAGUAUAAAGUACAAAGACUUCUUGCUCUGCUACAUAUCAUGAAAGAAGGGUGGUCCCUUGAUUCUGCUGGAAGAAUAGCUGGAGAAGAUUGGGUGACUGAGGAGGAGAAGGAACCCGGAGAUUCUUUUUGAAUUUUUUUUUAGCAAAUGCCUCUUUUCCCUGUUUUGCUUUGGCGUCUGUGGAAGAGGAUUUUUUGCAGAGACCAACUUUUUGCUGCUGUUUUUUAAACAAGAUGGAAAACCUUUAUAGACACAUUAUGCUCAAAGCAUGCAAACUGACACCGAUAUAUAUAGACAUGAACACACUCUUACCAAACAAACAUGCAUACAUACAGGCCAACACACACACACACACAUAUACACCCACACACACACAGACACACACACACACACACACACACACAAAUAUUCUCUCAGACAUCCUACAGUGUACAUACCUGUAUGUGCAUUUGCCAACUUAAACAUACACGCGGACAGACAGACACACACAUAAACACACACACACACACACACACACACACACACACACACACACACACACACACACACACACACACACACACACACACACACACACACACACACACACACACACACACACACACACACACACACACACACAUACACACACCAGCCUGCUGCCAUUUUGGUUUUCGUGCCUACACAGGUGAUGUGCUCUGUGAACAGGGCGAGCUCUGAGGAAAGAAGAAGAGAAAUGGAGAAUCCAGGAGAAUUUACAUGCAUCAUUCCUUAGGAAAUAGGGACCAAAGGACUUAACGCUUUUUAAAAGAAUAUAAAUAUAUAUACAUAUAUAUAUAUAUAUUAAAAAACUCUUACCUUGUAGCUGCAAGUAUUACAAUUUAAUAGUAGUCAAAAUAAAUCAUUAAAUCAAUAUCCAGUGGCCUAAGUAAGAAUAAAAAGAUAAAGGAAAUAAUGUAUACAUUGAAAAAAAGACAAGGAAACGUAGUAAAGGGGCUGAUUAUUAUGUUCUGGUUGCUGUUUUGCCACCAGUUAGUAGAUUAGAACAUGUAGAAUACUAGAAAAGUAGAUUUGCUCUUUUUUGCUGUUGUUUUUUUUAAAGAAAAAAAUACUUGAACUUGUAAAGUAAGGGGGGGAGGAAUGAAAAAGAAAAAAAUAUUCAUUUUGUCUGUCCCGUCCCAGUGGGCUUUGGGGCAUUGGGGUCUCUCUCUUGGAUGUUACGGUCGGGCCGCUGGACAUGUCCCUCAUCAUGGUGUACAACUCACUCACAGCACUAUCUGACAGCUAUAAAGGAACUGUUUUUGAGAAGAGGGGGAAGAAGAAGAGAAAAGACAGAUGAACCUUCCUAGUGUUUGUGCUGGACAGGGUGCAGAUAUGAGAGGCUUAUUUCCCACAAGCCUUUGUGUUCAAGCGACAAUCCACUGUAAAAAACCAAGCAAAUCGGACAUGGUGUGUUCUUUUCUUUUGAGCUCUAUUAUUACGACAGGGAGUGUGCUAUUAUAAAAGUUAUUAAAGAAAUGCAUAAAGAGAAGCUUCUGCAAACGAGAUGGACUAAUGGACAAAAAUUAAGGCAAGCAGAGAAGAAAAUGAUUGAGUUGAUAGCUACUGAAACUGCCAAAAGAGUGGACUCAACAGUAUAACAAUGAAUUGGCUCUCGUGGCGUUUGAGUAAACGGAAAAAAAUAGACCCAUUAAAAAUAACCAUGUUUUAGGCAAGAGGGAGAAAGAGAGAGAGGGAUAGGGAUAUUUAUGUCCGCUGAAGCCGCUCUAAAGCUCUGGUGAGAUUGAGAAACAUCGCCUCAUCUCCCCGGCUGUAGAACAGACACAAGCAGAACUUGCUCUGAAAGACACACUAGAUUUAUCGAUGGCAAAACAGUGGAAGCUUUUAGAGCUCAUUUAACUUUGUCGUAUAUAAUGUACAUGCCACUGUUAACAUGUCCCAUCCCUGACCUGCUUUUUUUCAAAUAUUAUAUAAUGAGCCUGUGGAAAAACCUACCUAUCCGACUCAACCUAACCUAACACAGUCUGAAUUACAGCCAUACCACAGCCAUCAUUCAGCUCCUCCCUGCCAAUCCAUGCCUAGCAGAACACAGCUCUGAACUCUUAACUUGACAGGCUUUGACUUAGUGUCCACGAGACCCUUUAUUUUGACUAUUUUACAGUGGUGGAUGCAGCUGGCCCCUCUAUGAAAACCAGAUCAAUAUGUUUGCUAUGAGUCUCGAGGAAGGAUAAGAUGGCAAGUCAUUCACUGUCCACACUUCCUCAAGUUCUCUCAGUAGAACACCAGCUCUCCCCCCUCCCUCACAACUCCCUGAGAGUUGACUGAAGGCAUAGGGGGAGGUAGAGCUGGACAUGGAAGAGAAGGGGAGAGGAAAGUGGGAGAAGUCAACAGCCAAACCCUGAUCUCUGAGCUCUACUCCACGCCAGCAUGUCCAACCUCGUCUUACUUUAUCCUUUAAAGUGAUGCUUCUUGGAGUUUUCCCCCGGGGACCGAAGCCACAGCAAGCGCAGCCUCCAUGUAUCUGUGCUGGCUUGCUCUUGGGGAAUGGGAUUGAAGGGUUGAUAAGGAAUCACUUGGCAUGUAUUAGGUACCUGCUGCCUUCUGUCCAGCCUGUGUCUGUUUACCUCUGGGACUUGCUCUCCAAAGCAGAGCGGACGCAUUCCAAGUCACUGACUGAAAGCCCUGCCUGCCUGCCUGCCUGCAUCACACAAGAGACAUCAAGACACAUGACUUUCAUUCUCUUUCUCCCGGCUGCUUAAAUACAACACAAUGCCAAUCUUUUCUGUGAGCGAAAAGCUCUUGGAUUUGUCUUGAUUUGUAUCCUUGUUUUUAUCAUACCACAUUACUGUAAUGAAUGUUAGCUUCUGACUUUGUGUUUGUGUUCCUCUGCUAUGAAUAGACACUGUUCUGUUCCAUCAUGCCUUCCAGAACCCCAACCUAGCUGUUCAUAGCUGUUCAGCUGUUCCCCUGGAACAAUGUUUCAAACCAACCUUCAGUUCAGUGUUUGGCUUCAGUCGCCUUCGAUUAUCUCUUCCUCCGUAUUAGACAUGCUAUUUCACCUUUCCCUCUAAUCACGUUGUAAUAGUGAGGCUCUAUACAUUAACACCAACCAAGUGAAAAGUCAUCUGCAUAAUCACCUGGACCAAAUUACAGUGGGGAUGGUCCCUUGAAUACUCUGUGAUGACAGAAGGUAGAUUAGAGAGAAUUAUGUUUGUAGCGGCUCCCUGGCAAGGAUGCCGACAGCUGACCUGGCACCGAUAUCACCGCAGCCGUAUUUAUGAUGGAGAUGAGAUGCAGGAAGCAGGAUGAAACCCUCCAUGUCAAAGCUACUCUGGGUAUUAAUGUUGGAUAUUUGAUUGGCGUGGGUAUAGAUUAUGUUGAAGAUAAGGCAAAAGAGACCCGGUUUGAAAUAUUGCUCAAGGCACAAAAGGUACUGAACAAUAGCAGGUUGAAAUGGUUAGCAGACAACCAACUCUUCCGUUUAAAAACCCUCAGUUCCUCUGUUGCAGCUGCCUGCCGGGUGGCAUGUGCUAUUGCACUUAAUUGUGUCUCAACAACCGCCUCAGAGGCCGCCAUUUUCCACAAAACAACCAGCUCUAAAAGUGUUGUCUUUGUCACGGCAGUAUUGCAGUCGGGACACCUGCAAAGCACAGAAUAUUGUUCAGAACUGGAGGAGCACAGUAGUUAUUUUGAAUCAAAACGAUGCCCAUUGAAAAAACAGAGACAGCUUUGGUCAUGGGUUGUCGCGGCUUGUCUUCAAAAACAGUAAAAACACUCAACCUUUAGUUGUUAUGAAGUCAGCCAAACAUGUAGGAACUAGGAAGCCACAUGAAUUAAUGUGAAGUAGGUCAAUAUGAAUGCAUGUUCUUCACAGCAGCCCUUUUGUGCUCAUUAUUUAUGUAAUGCUGAAUUAAUCAAUAGGAAACCUAAUGUUCCGUGAGCGAUGAAAUCUCGUAAUGCUUGUCUCUCUGCCGCUUCAAAAGCACCUCCUGCAGGACUAGUCCCAUUAGCCUCACCAUGAGCCCUCUGAUGGCUCCUACACCAGAUAAAUGCUGCAUACCCCUACAGUCAACUUAGAGCAAGGUUAGGUUCAGCCUAGGUCCAAUCCCCUGCCCAGUCUUAUAUUCCCUGCUUGGCUAACGUGCUACGCUUGUAUAGCCUUUCUGUUGCACCAGGGAGUUGCAGAAACAUGCUUGGGAAGGCUAGAUUAGACCAUGUUAAAUCAGGGAGCUGUUUGAACGAGGGUACUCUUAUUGCUCUUCUACACAGGGGAGGAAGGUUAUUAGUGUGACAUGCAGUGAAAACAGAAAUAGCUGUAGUGAAGCCAGGCUCUGGAACAUCAGAAAUGAGAAGUGGGUUUUAUAUCCUUCUUUUACUGACUGCAGAAGGCUGCCAGCUCAGCCCAUCUCAGCUCAGAUCUGGCCCUGUCUGGCCUUAAGUCAAGGCACAGGCUGUCUAGAGAAUGUUAACUUAGGGGUGACUCGCCUUACGCAGGACUGAAAUCCACCCACUCAUGUUCAGAUGAGAAUAUUUAGAUUGACAUUAUAGGUUAUUGAUGUUGUUCGUUCAACUCACUUUAUGUCUGUUUGGAAACAUAGUACCCGUCAAAAGUUUGGACGCGCCUGCUCAUUCAAGGGUUUUUCUUUAUUUUUACUAUAUUCUACAUUGUAGAAUAAUAGUGAAGGCAUCAAAACUAUAAAAUAACACAUAUGGACUCAUGUAGUGACCAAAAAAGUGGUUCUUCAAAGUAGCCACCCAUUGCCUUGAUGACAGCUUUGCACACUCUUGGCAUUCUCUCAACCAGCUUCACCUGGAAUGCUUUUCCAACAGUCUUGGAGGAGUUUCCACAUAUUCUGAGCACUUGUGGGCUGCUUUUCCUUAACUCUGCUGUCCAACUCAUCCCAAACCAUCUUAAUUGGGUUGAGGUCGGGUGAUUGUGGAGGCCAGGUCAUCUGAUGCAGCACCAUCACUCUCCUUCUUGGUCAAAUAGCCCUUACACAGCCUGGAGGUGUGUUAGGUCAUUGUCCUGUUUGAAAACAAAUGAUUGUCCCACUUAGUGCAAACAAGAUGGGUUGGCGUAUCGCUGUAGAAUACUGUGAUAGCCAUGCUGGUUAAGUGUGCCUUGAAUUCUAAAUAAAUCCCAGACAGUGUCACCAGUAAAGCACCCCCACACCAUCCCACCUCCUCCUCCAUGCUUCACGGUGGGAACUACACAUGUGGAGAUUACCCGUUCACCUACUCUGCGUCUCACAAAGACACGGCGGUUUGAACAAAAUCUCAAAUUUGGACUCAUCAGACCAAAACACAGAUUUCCACCGGUCUAAUGAUGAUUGCACGUGUUUCUUGGCCCAAGCAAGUCUCUUCUUCUUAUUUAUGUCCUUUAGUAGUGGUUUCUUUGCAGCAAGGCCUGAUUCACACAGUCUCCUCUGAACAGUUGAUGUUGAGUUGUGUCUGUUACUUGAACUCUGUGAAGCAUUUAAUUGGGCUGCAAUUUCUGAGGCUGGACCUCUAAUGAACUUAUCCUCUGCAGCAGACGUAACUCUGGGUCUUCAUUUUCCUGUGUCUGUCCUCAUGAGAGCCAGUUUCAUCAUAGUGCUUGAUGGUUUUUGUAACUGCACUUGAAUAAACUUUCAACGCUCUUGAAAUGUUCCAUAAUGACUGACCUUCAUGUCUUAAAGUAAUGAUGGAAUCAUUUCUCUUUGCUUAUUUGAGCUGUUCUUACCAUAACAUGGACUUGGUAUUUUACCAAAUAGGGCUAUCUUCUGUUUACCACCCCUACCUUGUCACAACACAACUGAUUGGUUCAAACGCAUUAAGAAGGAAAGAAAUUCCACAAAUGAACUUUUAACAAGGCACACCUGUUAAUUGAAAGGCAUUCCAGGUAACUACCUCAUGAAGCUGGUUAAGAGAAUGCCAAGCAUGUGCAAAGCUGUCAUCAAGGCAAAAGGUGGCUACUUUGAAGAAUCUCAAAUAUAAAUAUAUUUUGAUUUGUUUAUCACUUUUUUGGUUACUUAAUGAUUCCAUAUGUGUUAUUUCAUAGUUUUGAUGUCUUCACUAUUAUUCUACAUUGUAGAUAAAAGUAAAAAAUAAAGAAAAACCCUUGAAUGAGCAGGUGUGUCCAAACAUUUAACUGGUACUGUAUGUAAAAUAUAAUAUAACAAAAACAUAUUUCUGGUCAUGUCAACGGUCACUGUAAUGUCUGACCUUCUCAUGUAACAUUAGCACCUGUGAGGCAGUUAUUCACAUUUCUUAACCUCUGGUUAUUCUGCCUCCUCUACUGGUUCUAGUUAUAAUACCUUCCUAGUUUGCAUUCCAUAAAGUCUGUUCUCAUGAGGAGUUAGAAACCUCAGAGCUCCGAGGCUGACAGAGGGGCAGAGUAACCAAUCCUAAGAGCCGAAUAGGUUGACUAAGAGGCUAGUUAACCAAUCAUCUGAGCUCUGAAGCUGGUGGAUGGGUUGAAUAACCAAUCCUAGUGAGCAAAGAGAGAUCUGCCUAGCAUGUCUAGCAGACCCCAGCCCCUGGGUGUAGAGAACACUCACCCUAAAAUAGCAGUGAUUGUCAAGGAAAGGAAGUGAAAUGUAAUUGACUGAAAGUGGAGAGAUAAUUAAAGGAACCUGUUGGACAGGAGGGAGAAAUUAAUGGCUCUCAUUUAAUAGCUGCUUUGGGAGAAGAGGAGAGCUUUUCCGUCAUCUCGCUUAGGUAACGCAAAAAGGGGUUUUCGCCGUGGAAAUGGGAAGUGAGAGGGGAAGUGAAGUGGGUUUGGAGGGUGGGGGGGGGAUGCGUGCUAAACUGAAACUCCACAAAGUCACUUCGAUACUCAGGGCAUCAGGCGCUAUGAUGUCAUGAUUAGUGGAAACUUUCAGAGCCUUGCCUUCCCCAUGGGCCCUGCCUGCCUUGUCAGGCUGGGGAGGAAUAAGAGCUGCGUAUUUACCCAGAGGCGUAGAGAGUAUGGUGGGAGCUGGGGGAGCAUGUUGGACCUCUGCCAGGGCAGCUGGAGGAGCCAGAGACAGAAUCACACUGUCAGUCAGUCAGGAGGAGUGCUGUCUGUCAUUGAAACAUUAAUGCCUUGGAUCCAUCAGGUCAUCGUGCAAUUUUAAAAGACACUAAAAGGAAGACUUUAUCAUAAACAACAUAAAGAGCAGUUAAUCACAGAAACGUGUGGGAUCAUGUUUGACAACAAAGCUGGAGAUUCGAAUCAAAGUGAUUUUUUAUUCCUUCAUGUAAAUAAUAGAACAGAAACAAAUGAGUCAGGAAGUAAGAACUGUACAGUAGAGAGGUCUGUCUAUAGUAGGUCACUUGGCUGUGUGGACAUUGAUGUCACUAUAAAACGUAUCCACAGCAGUGCAGGGAAUCUUUGGAGAGGGUGGGAUAUUUUAACCUUUUGGCCUUUUGGUUACUGAGAAAAUAUGAAUGAAUAUGCACUAUACACUCAGCUGAACACCACCCUACAUAACAGGGAGAAGAUAGCAGAGAUCUGAUUCUAGAUGAUUUAGUAGGGCUUCAAUUCCAGCCUGGAGCAAUCCAUUAAUUAGGUUUACACUGACACAUCAUGAUAUUUCUGACAGUUGAAAGAUUGCUUGCGCACUAGCUAAUUGGAUUAGUCCAAUCGGAGCUGAUGAGACUGAUAUAUGUGACCUCAAAGACGUGAAGAGUAGGCCCGCCCCUCAGUCUGCUCCGUGCCAUGCAGAGGAGCAGGUGAUAGUGACAGCAGCCGUUAGUUCGCUAGUUGCUAGCUAGCUAGCUUGCCACCGGGGCUGGGCGGCGCCCGCCAGUCACCGCUAUAUUCCACAGCUCCACGGGUAUGGGCAGAAGGGGGUGAGGGGUUGCCAGAUUGGAGCUGAAAACAUAUUUACACAUUAUCCAAACACAGAACACAGGUGUAUGAUGAGAAAGAGAGAGGAUUGGGCCAGGUGAGCCGGAUGCACUGCUACUAGGAUGAAUGACCCUGCAGAUCUCCCUGCCUCUGUGGCCUGCCCCUGCCUCUGCUCUCCUUCAGCCCGAGUACACAGCUGCCUGCGGUACUCCUGUACAUAUUACAUAGCUUAUUUUUUAAUUCUGUUAAGGCUUCUUUAUAGACGACCAUACAAUAAAUCAUGUUGAAAAAAAAUAAAGAAAUAGUUCAUAUAUUUCACUGACUACGAGAAGGAAACUAUGAAAUAAUUUAUCAAAAACAGUAGGGAUUUUUUUUUUCUUGUAUAUUGAAGCGCUGAUGUUAAAAUGGAUUUUAUAUUAAUGUUGGUAAAUGGUUCUUUUUUUUCCAUUCUCUUAUGUUUUCUGUUUUGUUAUCUGCUGAAGCUGGGAUGGACCCAUUGUCUCAAGGUUUAUUCUGAUAUGCUUUGAAGAUACAUGUUGAAGGGACUUUUUGCUACACAAUCCCCAUAUGGAAUUACAUGUAAAUGGCCAAGUUUAAAGACAUGCUGUUGACAGAAAGCUCUUACAUUCAGUACAAGACUUAGAAACUGGACCGUAAAGAUUAUAAAGGUCAUGGGGAUUCAUAAUGAUGAAUCCAUUGCACAACACAAUUUCGAGAGGACGCAUCGGCUGUAAGUAACGUACAAAAGGAUUUCAUUGUGGACCUUCUGUUCUUUUGGAAAACCUCAGAACAUAUGUUGUCAGAUUUGUAUGGAAAAUAAGCUGUCAUUUACCAUGAUCAUUGUCUUUUAGCCAAACAUUUCUCUUUUGUUUGAUCAUUUCUUUCUUCAUCUUGAAUUCUUUUUUUUUUCUAGAAAAAGAAUCAGAGACAUCUCUUUUAUUGUCGUCUUUUUUGUAUGCGGGAAGUUUCUCUCAGACAUAAUUUCUUAAGAGCUAUUUCAACAUUACUGGACAAACUUGUAUAUAACAACUGUGGUUGACUCCAACACCACUGAAGAAAAUGUGCCACUAACAGAUUAAAAGUUCCACAACACUGUUUUGGUCAAGUCAGGUCAACCCAUGGCCUUGACACCAAACUGAUCAAGAGAGGGAAGUCUGCCUUAAAACACAUUCAUUCUCUCUGGCAGUAUUACCUUCAAAAACGGAGCACAUACAUUGUAUUCUGGGGAUACCAAUGCUAGUUCUUUUCCAUUGUUCGUAAACAUGCUCUGGUUUUUCCUUGCUGAGAUGAGUUUCUGUUUCAUUGAAAUGCAGCUGUCAGUUGUAAAGAUUGCCUUGUGUCAGUUUUGCCUCAAUCCCACUUCUGACACCAAUAAGGACGGGGUCAUACAGUACAGUUACAUUUCCAUCGGUUACAUGGACCAAAUUUUACCACAUGAAACCAACAGAGCAGAGUUGCCCUAAUCAAACAUGAAAUGAGAGCCUUUGUGCCACCAUUAAGAUAUAAAGGAAAGCGAAAAUCAUCCACUGUACUUUGCUUCAUGAGACAUUACAUUCCCAGCUUCUCUCUCGCAUUUCAUCCACUUGAUUUGACUUCUGUCAGACAUAUAAAACAUGUCAUUUUAUGUAUUUUAUCGUCAUUUAUUUUAGGUACAUAUUAGCUGAUUUAUUUAUAUUUUAGAUAUAAUUGUAUAUAUCUUUCUCAUUUUUACUUGAACAAAGUUAGUUGAUUAUCCCUAUUUUCUCAAAACUGAACUGUAAUUUGACUUAGUGUUGGCACGGGUCUGUUUUCCCUAAUUCGGGGUGGUUUCUCCCAUAGUGCUCCUGAACUGUAGUUCUCUAGUUCAUUAUAUUCUGCUUAGACUAAAAUAAAGCACAGUCCUGUAGAA